CCUACGGGAGGCAGCAGUGGGGCAUAUUGCACAAUGGGGGAAACCCUGAUGCAGCGACGCCGCGUGAGCGAUGAAGUAUUUCGGUAUGUAAAGCUCUAUCAGCAGGGAAGAAAAUGACGGUACCUGACUAAGAAGCCCCGGCUAACUACGUGCCAGCAGCCGCGGUAAUACGUAGGGGGCAAGCGUUAUCCGGAUUUACUGGGUGGAAAGGGAGCGUAGACGGUCCUGCAAGCCAGAUGUGAAAGCCCGGGGCUCAACCCCGGGACUGCAUUUGGAACUGUAAGGCUAGAGUGUCGGAGAGGCAGGCGGAAUUCCUAGUGUAGCGGUGAAAUGCGUAGAUAUUAGGAGGAACACCAGUGGCGAAGGCGACCUGCUGGACGAUGACUGACGUUGAGGCUCGAAAGCGUGGGGAGCAAACAGGAUUAGAUACCCCAGUAGUC
rnacentral:rRNA from 1 species